UCGAUUCCCUUAGUAGCGGCGAGCGAAACGGGAAGAGCCCAAACCAACAAGCUUGCUUGUUGGGGUUGUAGGACACUCUAUACGGAGUUACAAAGGACGACAUUAGACGAAUCAUCUGGAAAGAUGAAUCAAAGAAGGUAAUAAUCCUGUAGUCGAAAAUGUUGUCUCUCUUGAGUGGAUCCUGAGUACGACGGAGCACGUGAAAUUCCGUCGGAAUCUGGGAGGACCAUCUCCUAAGGCUAAAUACUCUCUAGUGACCGAUAGUGAACCAGUACCGUGAGGGAAAGGUGAAAAGCACCCCGGAAGGGGAGUGAAAUAGAACCUGAAACCGUGUGCUUACAAGUAGUCAGAGCCCGUUAAUGGGUGAUGGCGUGCCUUUUGUAGAAUGAACCGGCGAGUUACGAUUUGAUGCAAGGUUAAGCAGUAAAUGUGGAGCCGUAGCGAAAGCGAGUCUGAAUAGGGCGUUUAGUAUUUGGUCGUAGACCCGAAACCAGGUGAUCUACCCUUGGUCAGGUUGAAGUUCAGGUAACACUGAAUGGAGGACCGAACCGACUUACGUUGAAAAGUGAGCGGAUGAACUGAGGGUAGCGGAGAAAUUCCAAUCGAACCUGGAGAUAGCUGGUUCUCUCCGAAAUAGCUUUAGGGCUAGCCUCAAGUGAUGAUUAUUGGAGGUAGAGCACUGUUUGGACGAGGGGCCCCUCUCGGGUUACCGAAUUCAGACAAACUCCGAAUGCCAAUUAAUUUAACUUGGGAGUCAGAACAUGGGUGAUAAGGUCCGUGUUCGAAAGGGAAACAGCCCAGACCACCAGCUAAGGUCCCAAAAUAUAUGUUAAGUGGAAAAGGAUGUGGCGUUGCCCAGACAACUAGGAUGUUGGCUUAGAAGCAGCCAUCAUUUAAAGAGUGCGUAAUAGCUCACUAGUCGAGUGACACUGCGCCGAAAAUGUACCGGGGCUAAACAUAUUACCGAAGCUGUGGAUUGUCCUUUGGACAAUGGUAGGAGAGCGUUCUAAGGGCGUUGAAGCAUGAUCGUAAGGACAUGUGGAGCGCUUAGAAGUGAGAAUGCCGGUGUGAGUAGCGAAAGACGGGUGAGAAUCCCGUCCACCGAUUGACUAAGGUUUCCAGAGGAAGGCUCGUCCGCUCUGGGUUAGUCGGGUCCUAAGCUGAGGCCGACAGGCGUAGGCGAUGGAUAACAGGUUGAUAUUCCUGUACCACCUAUAAUCGUUUUAAUCGAUGGGGGGACGCAGUAGGAUAGGCGAAGCGUGCGAUUGGAUUGCACGUCUAAGCAGUAAGGCUGAGCUGUGAUGGGGAGAAGACAUUGUGUCUUCGAGUCGUUGAUUUCACACUGCCGAGAAAAGCCUCUAGAUAGAAAAUAGGUGCCCGUACCGCAAACCGACACAGGUAGUCAAGAUGAGAAUUCUAAGGUGAGCGAGCGAACUCUCGUUAAGGAACUCGGCAAAAUGACCCCGUAACUUCGGGAGAAGGGGUGCUCUUUAGGGUUAACGCCCAGAAGAGCCGCAGUGAAUAGGCCCAAGCGACUGUUUAUCAAAAACACAGGUCUCUGCUAAACCGUAAGGUGAUGUAUAGGGGCUGACGCCUGCCCGGUGCUGGAAGGUUAAGAGGAGUGGUUAGCUUCUGCGAAGCUACGAAUCGAAGCCCCAGUAAACGGCGGCCGUAACUAUAACGGUCCUAAGGUAGCGAAAUUCCUUGUCGGGUAAGUUCCGACCCGCACGAAAGGCGUAACGAUUUGGGCACUGUCUCAACGAGAGACUCGGUGAAAUCAUAGUACCUGUGAAGAUGCAGGUUACCCGCGACAGGACGGAAAGACCCCGUGGAGCUUUACUGUAGCCUGAUAUUGAAAUUCGGCACAGCUUGUACAGGAUAGGUAGGAGCCUUUGAAACGUGAGCGCUAGCUUACGUGGAGGCGCUGGUGGG
rnacentral:rRNA from 1 species